rnacentral:rRNA from 1 species
CGCAGGCGGUUUCUUAUGUCUGAUGUGAAAGCCCCCGGCUCACCCGGGGAGGGUCAUUGGAAACUGGGGAACUUGAGUGCAGAAGAGGAGAGUGGAAUUCCACGUGUAGCGGUGAAAUGCGUAGAGAUGUGGAGGAACACCAGUGGCGAAGGCGACUCUCUGGUCUGUAACUGACGCUGAGGAGCGAAAGCGUGGGGAGCGAACAGGAUUAGAUACCCUGGUAGUCCACGCCGUAAACGAUGAGUGCUAAGUGUUAGGGGGUUUCCGCCCCUUAGUGCUGCAGCUAACGCAUUAAGCACUCCGCCUGGGGAGUACGGUCGCAAGACUGAAACUCAAAGGAAUUGACGGGGGCCCGCACAAGCGGUGGAGCAUGUGGUUUAAUUCGAAGCAACGCGAAGAACCUUACCAGGUCUUGACAUCCUCUGACGAUCCUAGAGAUAGGACGUCCCCUUCGGGGGCAGAGUGACAGGUGGUGCAUGGUUGUCGUCACCUCGUGUCGUGAGAUGUUGGGUUAAGUCCCGCAACGAGCGCAACCCUUGAUCUUAU